UACGUAGGGCGCAAGCGUUGUCCGGAAUUAUUGGGCGUAAAGAGCGCGUAGGCGGCUUGUCACGUCGGGUGUGAAAGCCCGGGGCUUAACCCCGGGUCUGCAUUCGAUACGCGCAGACUAGAGGUAUGCAGGGGAGAACGGAAUUCCUGGUGUAGCGGUGAAAUGCGCAGAUAUCAGGAGGAACACCAAUGGCGAAGGCAGCACUCUGGGACGUGACUGACGCUGAGACGCGAAAGCGUGGGGAGCAAACAGG
rnacentral:rRNA from 1 species